rnacentral:rRNA from 1 species
CGCGAAAAUUGUCCACUCUUUUGAGGGGAGACAGUUAUGAGACGUGAGUAGAAGGGUCGAGUGUAAAAACCUUGACGUGAAGCAAUUGGAGGGCAAGUUUUGGUGCCAGCAGCCGCGGUAAUUCCAACUCCAAGAGUGUCUAUGGUGGAUGCUGCAGUUAAAGGGUCCGUAGUCGUAGAUGCGAUUAAAAGGUGGUGUUAAAAGCCAUUGAGUUUGUUGAGAGUAGCGGAACGGAUAGGGAGCAUGGUAUAGGUGGGCAAAGAAUGAAAUCUCAAGACCCCACCUGGACCAACGGAGGCGAAAGCGAUGCUCUUAGACGUAUCUGGGGAUCAAGGACGAAGGCUAGAGUAUCGAAAGUGAUUAGACACCGCUGUAGUUCUAGCAGUAAACUAUGCCGACAAUGCUGGGUGUUGCGAGAGCGAUGCUUGGUGUGGGAGAAAUCUUAGUUUUCGGGCUCUGGGGAUAGUACGCUCGCAAGGGUGAAACUUAAAGCGAAAUUGACGGAAGGACACUACCAGGAGUGGAUUGUGCUGCUUAAUUUAACUCAACGCGGGAAAACUUACCAGGGUCAAGUCUAUCGUAGAUUGGAGACAUGAGGUAGACAAGAGUGGUGCAUGGCCGUUGGAAAUUGAUGGGGCGACUUUUAGCUUAAGUGCUGGAACCAGUGAGAUCUUCUAGACAGGUGUUAUUUAGGUACAGGAGGGAGAAGGCAAUAACAGGUCCGUGAUGCCCUUAGAUAUCCUGGGCAGCAAGCGCAUACAAUAUCUUAAUCGUCGACC